GACGAACGUUGGCGGCGUGCUUAAUACAUGCAAGUCAACUGAAGCAGUGGUAGCAAUAUCGCUGUGGAGGUGGCGCACGGGUGAGUAACACGUAGGUAAUCUGCCUUCAGGUCUGGCAUAACUCCAGGAAACCGGGGCUAAUAGCAGAUGAUGCAGCGGCUCGACAUCGAGACAGUUGUUAAAGCUAUGGCGCCUGAAGAUGAGCCUGCGUCUGAUUAGCUAGUUGGCGGGGUAACGGCCCACCAAGGCAACGAUCAGUAGCUGGUCUGAGAGGAUGAUCAGCCACACUGGAACUGAGACACGGUCCAGACUCCUACGGGAGGCAGCAGUAAGGAAUAUUGCUCAAUGGGAGAAAUCCUGAAGCAGCAACGCCGCGUGAGGGACGAAGGGCUUUUGCUUGUAAACCUCUGUAGUGAGAGAAAAAAAUCCCAAUCUUUGGGACAUGAUGGUAUCUCAAAAGUAAGCCCCGGCUAACUACGUG
rnacentral:rRNA from 1 species